rnacentral:lncRNA from 1 species
AGUUUUUGGAGAAAAAAAUAAUUUGUUUUUAACCCUGAGAAAAAAAAAUUGUUUGUUUCACCCUCAGCUGCUUCUAUAUGUAAUGCAAAAAUAGAAAGUAAAAAUGUUUUCUACUUGUCGCCAAAAAAAAUAGAUUGUUUUUCACUGAAGGCAAAAAAAAAGUUUGUCCGGAAAAAAAAUCCAUAGCCUCCCCCCCGACCUCCAGAAAAUGAAAUGGUUGCUGCCUAAAUGUAUAAAUCUCUUUGAAAUUAUACCACAAGUUUCCAUACUACAAAGGGGUGGUUAUAGGGGUAAUGGAUCAAAUCAUUAAGCAAUUAGGGGCAAAAAAGGGGGGAACAAGGGUUUUCCUGGUUAAAGGACAAUUUAGAGAAUUUAAAAAGCAGUUUAAGGGAGGUAAUCCAAUUCCAAUAAAAAUUUAAAUAAUACUUUUAUAUAUAUGUUUGAUUACUUGAUUACCUCCCUUACACUGCUUGAAAAUUAUGUUGAAGG